CAGACAGUCAAUGAAAGCAGAGUCUCACAGAAGCUAUGCUACCACCUAAAGCAGAGAUUAAGAACAGGGUCCUUUGGAAAACCAGAAUUUGGACCAACCAAAUCCACUAGCAAUGAAGAGAUUGGAUGAGGAAUUUAUAUAGGGGAGGGAGAGGUCUGCUCACCACUGUAACAUCCUGAAUUCUGUUUCUUUCCUUGUUCUCUGACUCCUUGAAAGAACAUACUCCUCUCUUUUCUAGACCUCUUCUUGUAAUAGAACAAUCCUACAGGCCCCUCAGCACACUGUACUUUAUUCACUCUGACCUCUGACUUAUCCAUAUGCCCAUACAUAUACACAAAGCCUGGGAAUGGCAUGCCCCAACCAAGGCCCACUCAUCACCAUCAGAAGAGCUUCUAGACAUGGACAUCAUUUUCUGCUUUCACCCUGAUUGAGACCAUCUGACAAGGACAUAUUCAAGGACAUUAUGCUCUGAAGGACCAUUUUCACCUACCACUGCUUUCCUAAGGACACCAUAAGGAAAGACUAUCCAUAGGAGAACCUUAAGGGGAUAUCAUCUCCUGUAUCAGGAGCACAUAUACUCAGAGGCAAAUCAAUGCUCUGGCAACAUGAAAGGUGUGAUGGAGAUUCACAGAGGAGGACGACGGCAGGAAUGGAGCCCACCCCACACCUCCUAUAUCAGGUUCCAGCAAGCUAACACACAUUACAAUGUUCUUAGAAGCCUCUGGCUAGAAGACAGGGCCACAUAGUCUUCCAUAGCUGGAUGAACAAGGUCAUGUUCUUGCCUCCAGAAGAUCUCAAGAGUGUGAAGAGCUCAUCAUCAUUUAAUUUCUCCAUCAGCUGUAACUAUGAGUGAAUAUCACAGAAGAAGAGCAUUGAGUCUGCCAUUAACCCAACUAAGGAGCAGCAAAAGUCAAAAGUACAAAAGGCUCCUGGCCUGGGCCUUUGAGGUCCAGCUCACUUCCCCGUGCCUAGCUCUUCCCCUGCCUAGGCUCCUUGCCCAAUUCUCUGAGCCCCUUUACAUACUGAAUCUAGCAAUGUAUGAGAUAGGAUCAAGUUAGAUGUAUCAUAAGAAUACAAUACUAAUCUAAACUAAGAAAAAAUAAUGUAAUAAUAAGUAACCAUACUAAUAAGAUAAAGGGGGAAAUUUCAUAAGGUCAUCUCAAUUGAUGGAAAGUAAAAAAGUGUUUGACAAAGUUAGUUAACAAACUAGGAGUAGAAGGUGAGUUCUUCAUUAUAGAUACCUAUGGAAAAUACCCACCAACAUUCUACUUACCACUAAAAGAAAAAUCCCUUUUAGUAUCAGGGAACAAUGACAUGUUUUGCCAUUUUCAUAUCAGGACAAAGAUGUUUUUAGCACUUAUUUCAUCAUGGGAUUGGAAAGUCUAGGCAGGGAAAAUUGGCAGAAGAAAUGAAAAGCGCCCUGCUGGGAGAAGAAAAAUAAACUAUUUGUAAGUGAUAAAUUCUUACAUAUGGAAAAUCUUAAAGACUCCACAGAAACAACUAUUAGAGAAAAACAGCCAUUUACAAACAAGUCGGCAAGAUGCCAAGUAAAAUAAA
rnacentral:lncRNA from 1 species